ACCGCGGGGCCGUGCGGACGGCCAGCACUCGACUUUGCCUAAAAAAGGAAGCAGCAGGCUGAGGCUGAGGAGCUGGCGGCAGGAACAAGGGAGAGCUGUGUCCCCGCCGGCGCCCCCCACCCCCCCUGCCGGGGAUCUUGGCAGUGGAGGUGCUGGCUGCGCUCCACAGACCUCAGACCUCGGCUGGGACCAGAAAUGCCUGGUGCUUCCGCCUGGGCCCGGUGGGGGGACUUUGGGUCCCCAGAGUGCAAGCUGUACCACUUCGAGGGGCCUCGCCAGGCCCCCCAGCCCCCAGUACACAGGGGCUGCCGUGGAGAUGACGCUGAAGGCCGCAGCCGCUGGAGGACCUGGGGUCUGACCGGAAGCUGGCUGCAGACCCUGCGGAGGCACGUCCAGGCCUCUGCUCUCCGGGGCUACGGCCUCCCACAGGCACGUUCCUACAUCCCUCUGUGAACCGCCCACAGGCCCCCCCACAGGUGUUCCUCUGUGAGCUGGUCGGGCGGCCGGGGCCGGGGCCGGGCUUCGCUGCUCCGUGCCUUCCACCUCCCUGGCGGUGCGGGGCCUCAGGGUGGGCCUGGGAAGCUGGAAACACCUUUGGAAACAGCCGCCUGAGGCAGCUGUGGACAGAAGACCCUGCCCAGCAGCCAAGGGAGCUGGCCUCUCCGCUCAGCCUCCCCACCCCCACCAGGCCCAGCUGUUGUUUUCACGGCUCCGGGACCAGGCGGAUCCUCAGCCAAGAGCUUCCCAGGAGAGCCCUCAUCUUCAACCCCUAGUGGCGACCAGAGCCAGCCCGGGCAGGAGGGGAAGGAAGGCGGCCGCGGCCCCGGGGAAGCCAUCCUGGCAGCUUGGCCACUGGCCCGGCUCCUGUCUGACCAGGAAAGGCAUCAAAGCCGGACUCGGAUGGAGGCUGGAAAACCCCGAGACUUCUGCUGGACUCGACCCAGCCACACACCAGGCUGUGCUCAAGGCCACGGAAUGAGCCUUGACCCUGGCCCCAGACGGAGCCCAGACCUUGCUGGUCACAGGCUGAGCCCUGCUGGCAAUAUGAUGUACUAGAUCCCUUAAAAGGCCUUCCAGCAACAACCAACUUCUGGAUGAAUUACUAUGAGCGUACAUUUUUAAUAGACUGUUGUGUUUCCAAGAAAGUAAAUAUCUCCGAGUCUCCCCCAAAAUUAAACAGCAAAAAUAAAUAAG